rnacentral:lncRNA from 10 species
CGUGCACCUCCUUGGCCAGGCACUGGGACAGGGCACACAGCACAGGAGAGCACAUCAGCCCUGAGUCGACUCCCUGUUGCACUCGUUCACAGCCAGGCAUGUGUCGAAACCUGAGCUGGCCCUCAACUCCCUCUUACCAGAUGGGACGGGGCUGGAGCAUCCCUCCUGGCCCUUGCAGGAGGGAUGGUCCAGCUCUCUGUGCUUUCCCAUGAGUUGCUGAUGUCUCUAUGUCCCCUUCUAUGUGGCAAGUCCUUGGAGAUGACAGAGUGAAGAGAAGGACCCAGCCCUGCCGUCAAGGACUAGCAGAGUGGCCUGCACAAGGACAGUGCUUGGUGAGGACAGAAGUGAAUGGGGAACCAAGCCUGGAGAGACAGAGCUAAAAUAUAAAGAAGAGAGAGAGAAUAGCACGAGAGAGGUGAAUUCGCCUCCUACAUGGGCACAAGAAGGUGACACCAUGCUCCAAGGGGCAGGAUGGAAAGAGAGAGGCUGCGGUGACCUGCAGGAAACUGCCAGGUAUGGCUCUGCAGCCACUGCUCAGGGCCCACAAGUGCCGGCAUCUCCCAGGAAAGAUGAGGUGUUCACCUAAAAGUCAGGUGGUCAGAAACUGGGGUGGGGGUUAGGAGAACCACUGUUCUUCAUGAGUUGAAAACAAAACAUUGAGAAGAAGGACAGAAUCAGAGCUGCGGAGAUCCUGAUGCACUGGAACUAGCAAGAUAUGAUGGCUUGUGCUCCAGCAGCAAGUGAGAUCAUGCGGCAUCUCUGAGGAUGGACGUCAUGAGCUAAGCAUGGAAAAGCGGAAAGCCAGAAGGAGCUGGGAUAUCUGAUGAUGAAGGGCUGACGUUACUAGCUCCUAGCUCCAGACUGCCUGCCUC